rnacentral:misc_RNA from 1 species
CAACCCUCGAGCCCCUCCGGGGGGUCGGCGUUGGGGAUCGGCCCUCCCUCGCGGGGGCCGGCCCCGAAAUGCAGUGGCGGUCCCGCCGCAGCCUCUCCUGCGCAGUAGUUUGCACACUCGCACCGGGAGCGCGGCGGGCCCAACGCCGUAAAACAACCCAACCUUCUGAAA